GUAGUCGAGGAGAGUACCAGCGGCAGGCGGGCAGCGGCCGCCCCUCCCAGCCCACCAGCUGGCCACUAAAAGCUCCCGGUUGCCAAGAAGUGUGAGCGAGUAAUUUUGCUGGAUGUCCACGUAUUUCAGUUGAGCCAUUUGAAGACAUUAGGAGUGGGGUUAUUGAAGCCCUCCCUUGCUCUAGGACAAUGCAAGCCUGCCUCUGUGUUCACCACAGUAACAGGGAUUCUAUUUAGUGCUCAAUGCUGAUGAACCAGAAUGGAGGUCUGAGAGUUUGUGUGACAGGUAAGAGAAAAAAAAAAAAGGAAAAAAAAAAAGUGAGUGCAUGGAGGCUGUGAGAAAUGUGGAAGCAAACAGAUUUGUUGGAAAACAAGCUUUAACAUUUGAAGAGGAAGUACCACAUCAAAAACAGGAAUGGAGAGGCACCUCAUCUCUGAAGACGUGAUUCAAGUUGUUACACUUGCAUAGUGGGAAUGGUACAGGCUAUGCAGGAGACAUGAUUAUAGAGUGGCUUGGAAGAUGAUCUUUUUUAGACAAUCCAGAGCCUGAACCCCUGCUCCCUCCUCUCUGCUGUGUAUGUCAUCUUGGCAGGAGUCUUGGAGCUCCUUCCUACGACUUAACAAGAACUGACUGUGUGCAUCAUCACCCUAACCUCACGCCCCAUGGCAACCCAGCAGUGGACCACACAGAGCAGAGGUGAUUUAGAGCAUCGCGACUGACAAUUCCAAAUUAGGCAAAUCAGAGCUUCAUUUCUCCUGUGUUACUUCAGCAUCCAACGGCUGGAGGUUGCCAACAUUUCCUACCUUUUUCAGUCUUCCUCCUUUAUUGGAAAAGAAACAGAAUGACAGUUCUCUCUGCAUAAAAUUGUGCAGGCCUUUCAAUAGAUAGUAUAUUUCAUGUUUCCUGUAUGUCGCAAACAUCAAUCUCAUAACUCUUAUAAUUUAAUUCAGCGUGUUCUACAGAACUGUGAACACUUUUGCAAUUCUAAUGCACUAGAAAGCAUUUCAAUUAGUUCAUCACAAUUCCAGGGGAAGGGGAUUCUGUAAAAAUAAUUUUACAGAUGAUUUUACAGGUGAGAUGUUUUCCUCUAAGUAUUAUUAGAAAGUUCUAAAGGCAACCUGCAAUUACUAAAUUGUCUAUUAAAUUCAUAUAUGUAUAUAUGCAUUCAAUUAGAAUACAUUUAUAUUCUAUGUGUAUACAUACAUAGACACAAAUUCCAGUUUAGUGUCUGAUGUUGUAACAAAACACUGAAGAAAAGCAACUUGAAAGGAAA
rnacentral:lncRNA from 1 species